UACGGAGGAUGCGAGCGUUAUCCGGAUUUAUUGGGUUUAAAGGGUGCGUAGGCGGGCAUUUAAGCCGGCGGUCAAAUGUCGGGGCUCAACCCCGGCCUGCCGUCGGAACUGGGUGCCUUGAGUGGGCGAGAAGUACGCGGAAUGCGUGGUGUAGCGGUGAAAUGCAUAGAUAUCACGCAGAACUCCGAUUGCGAAGGCAGCAUACCGGCGCCGACUGACGCUGAGGCACGAAAGUGCGGGUAUCGAACAGG
rnacentral:rRNA from 1 species